rnacentral:rRNA from 1 species
CAGUCGCCGCGGGAAUACAGAGGGUGCGAGCGUUAAUCGGAUUUACUGGGCGUAAAGCGUGCGUAGGCGGCUAAUUGAGUCGGAUGUGAAAUCCCCGAGCUUAACUUGGGAAUUGCAUUCGAUACUGGUUAGCUAGAGUGUGGGAGAGGAUGGUAGAAUUCCAGGUGUAGCGGUGAAAUGCGUAGAGAUCUGGAGGAAUACCGAUGGCGAAGGCAGCCAUCUGGCCUAACACUGACGCUGAGGUACGAAAGCAUGGGGAGCAAACAGGAUUAGAUACCCCGGUAGUCCCUGUCUCUUAUAA